rnacentral:tRNA from 1 species
UGGCUCAGCUUGGCUAGAGCGCCUGGUUUGGGACCAGGAGGUCGCAGGUUCGAAUCCUG